UACGUAGGGCGCAAGCGUUGUCCGGAAUUAUUGGGCGUAAAGAGCUCGUAGGCGGUCUGUCGCGUCUGCUGUGAAAACUCGGGGCUUAACCCCGGGCCUGCAGUGGGUACGGGCAGACUAGAGUGCGGUAGGGGAGACUGGAAUUCCUGGUGUAGCGGUGAAAUGCGCAGAUAUCAGGAGGGAACACCGGUGGCGAAGGCGGGGUCUCUGGG
rnacentral:rRNA from 1 species